UUCAGCGUGUGAAUGUGUGUGAAUGUGAUUCGUAGUGUAAAAUUGAUCAUGGCACUGCAACUCCGUACGAACACACUCCCUACCCUUUCGCUGCUGUGGAGAGGAAGGGGGCCCAAGGAGUCGCAACAGUGCAGACUUUGUCAACAAGAGAAGGAGACCGUGCAGCAUAUUAUCGGGAACUGUGCGGAGCUCAAGAGGAACCGCAUGGCCAGCCACAACAAGGUGUGCGUGUUCCUCCAGAAGGAGGGUGAAGACUUAGGCUGGCGCGUGAUGAGGGAAAAGAGACUUCAGUCUGGAGACGGUACACGGGGAGUGCCGGACCUCAUCAUGAUCCGGGACCAGGUUGCCUUGAUCAUUGAUGUGACUAUCUGUUUCGAAAAGUCACCUUGCACACUAUCAGACGCGGAGAAACGGAAGGUGGACAAGUACAUGAAGUUCAGAGGGGCGGUGACGCGUCUUUACCCAGGGGUAAAGACCGUCGAGGUGGCCGGGUUCCCUCUCGGAGCUAGAGGGAAAUGGCACCAGGGGAACUUCAGGGUACUUGAGCUGAUGGGCAUGCGGAAGUCAAGGGCCACCAAAGUCGCAGCCAUCCUCAGCAAGAGGGCGCUCCUGCAGACGAUAGACACGUGCAAGAUGUUCAAGAUCUUGGCCAGAUAGUAGAACAGCCUCUGAAUGCUUGAGGUAGUGCAAGGGACUUGGGCCGUUCCUCUUCGCGGGAGUCGUCGUAAACUAUGGAUGACGCGUGGAUGGUUAGCGGGUCCACGUCGACGUAAGACGGUAAACAGUACGAAAUAGAGAUGGACUGGAUAGCCAUGUUCUAUGGUGAUGCUGGUUCCCUCACGGUCUAAGAGAAGUCUCCGGAGGGCCAGCCGUGAGGCGUCCAUAGGGUCGGAACAACGGAUACCCCAAGCUCCUAACGGAACCUGGGGGUGCAGUCCCGCCCAGCUAUGAAUGUCAAUGUGAAGAAAUUCUAUAAAGCGUGGGUUAAACGGCGGGGGCCAAUUACAUCUCUCUUUAGUUAGCCAAAUGCCUCGUCAUCUAAUUAGUGACGCGCAUGAAUGGAUGUACGAGAUUCCCACUGUCCCUACCUACUAUCUAGCGAAACCACAGCCAAGGGAACGGGCUUGGCAGAAUCAGCGGGGAAAGAAGACCCUGUUGAGCUUCACAUUUACACACAGCAACCUGCUUUGGGAGUAGAACAGCAUCCAGCAGUUGUGACACAAGAGUGUGGUGUGCAAUAGGUUUCCAAAUUGUGCCAAAAUCAUGCACAAUGCCCAAAGCAUAUCUACUGUCUGUAUAGAUAUUCACUUUUUUGUCCUUUGUCAGUUUACAUUCUUCGAUGACAGAUGUUAACUCUGCUGCCUGUGCAGACAGUGAAGCAGGAAGUGGUUUAGCAAUGAGUGUCAUGUGCAGUUACCACAGAGAAACCAACUUGAUUGAUUGAUUGUGUCAGGAUUGCGUGAUGCUGAUCCAUCCAUGAACAGUUCAACAUCAGGAUUUUGCAAAGGUGUUUCUUGCAAAUCUGGACUGGGGGAGCAAACUUCAGUUAUUGUGGCAACACAGUUGCCACAAUAACUGAAGUGAGUGCAGAAGACGAAAGAAACUUUAGUCUAUGGCCCAAGUAAAACAACAAGAUGAUGAUGGAACUAAUGCUGUGGCAAGCUCUGUUGUCUUGCACUCUGUUGUGGUUAAACAGGUACAGGACACCGCUCUGAUCCCCGACCUCACGUCAUCCUCGCCUCCGACCACACAGCGUACCCCGCCACCGUACCAGGAAGGAGCCGCAGCUUGGGAACAGGUAAGUGGAAUCACAGAGGGUAUAAACAGAUUGAGCCUGAAUAGCCCUGUAUCUCAAAAAGCACCAUCUCUCUAUCCUGAUCUGACCAAAUUAAGUGGGGAGGAGAGGUCUGUAACAGAUCCUCCGAUAUCAAGCAGAACCAGACAACAUUGUGACCUGUCACAGAAAAAACUGUCCGAUUUAGUAGCGCCACUGAUUGAACUGCCGAAUCCCAGACAAGGGGAAGGGCAACCUGAUUCGGUUUGGGUCUUCUGUAAUUGGACAAAGGAGGACGUGAGAAAGGCAGUAGAUGGGAUUCCUCAUCCACGUAAAGAUGUGCAAGCAUACGUCAAUAAAAUGUAUGGGCUGUAUAAUAGCUAUAGGCUAAACGGGGAAGAAAUGACUAACUGUCUCAUGCAAAGUUUGACUACUGAUUGGGCGACUGUAAAUGUUGAUUGGAGACCUAUGGGGGAAAACGGUGAGCCGCUCCUGUGGGACCGAGAUAGAACGCUCGGGCUCGGUCCACAGCUGAACCAAAUGGCAGAGACUCUUCGGGAAACAUUUGGCCGGAGAAAUGAUUGGGCUGAAAUUGAUGCUGUGGUACAAGAGGAGAAAGAGACAGUAGCACAAUAUGCUGCCAGGCUCACGGAAGCAUUUCAUGGACACAGUGGGCUGGAGCCGCGAAUCGGAGAUGAGGUUAAUCCACGCUACGAGUCACAGUUAACAUCCUGCCUUCUGAGGGGUUUAAAACCACAGAUUGCAAAUUGGAUAAAAAAACAUUUGGUCGGAUGGGAAGGAGAGCAGAGAAGGGUUAUUCUCGCACAUGCUAAACACGCUGAAAAAGUUCUGGAAAAUGUAGAUAAGAAACAUAAAAAAGUAGUGAUGGUUGCUUUUUCUCUUCUGAGUCCCAUAGGAAGGAAAUUAUUUGCUAUCGCUGUGGGAAAAGAGGCCACAUCGCCAGAGAAUGCAGAAGUCCCAUGCCAGCUGCGGACACCAGGCGGGGCGGAGGUCAAGGCGGUGGACGGGGCAGGAGAGGACCUUAAAAGGUUGGGUGCAGAAUGAGUCAGGGGGGGGACGGUGUGUUUUUCCACCAGAGACACGGUCUGUACAAGAAGGCGCUGAAUUGGGUAACAGUGGGAGCAGCCACAACUCAUUUGCAGCCCUCUUUGUGAUCAUUGCAGGACAAAGUGUGUUUGUUGACAGAGGAGCAGGAAAAAGAGUUAGAAGAGUUACCUUCUGAACUUUGGAGUACAGGGAAAGAUGGUGAUAUCGGGUUGUUACGUACUGCCACACCUGUUACCAUUAAACCUAAAAGCUCUUAUAGACCGUUUGUUAAACAAUAUCCUUUGAAGCCGGAAGCUGAGGAAGGUAUUUCAGAAGUGAUAGACAGUUUGAUAAAACAAGGGGUUUUAGUUGAUUGUCCUGACUCACCCUGCAACACACCAAUUCUGCCUGUGAAAAAAGCUACUUCCGGGUGGCGGUUAGUAAAUGAUUUACAAGCUGUGAACCGAGCUGUAGUUCCACGAGCUCCAAACGUACCAGACCCCUACACUCUUUUGAACAACAUAAAACCCACUAAUGUCUGGUACUCAGUGAGUGAUUUGACAAACGCAUUUGUUACCAUUCCUUUGAGCCCUGAGUCACAGUUUUGGUUUGCGUUCACGUUUAAACACAGACGAUUGACGUAUUCAAGACUUCCUCAAGGGUUUCAAGAUAGCUCUACUAUCUUUUCACAAGAAAUUAAAAAAUGUAUUGACCUUUUUGAACCUCCUGAAGAGGAGUCUCAGAUUUUGACUUAUGUUGAUGAUAUUCUUGUGACUUCUAGCUCUCAACAAAAGUGCAAAAACAUGACUUUGGCCUUGUUGAGAUAUCUAGCUGCAGCUGGUGUUAAAGUCUCUAAGUCUAAACUCCAGCUGUGGAGUCAGGAGGUGAAAUAUUUAGGCUACACGCUAACUCCUGAAGGCCGUGUGUUGGAUGAACAGAGGAAAAACAACUAUUCUGCAGUUACCACAGCCUACAACAAAGCGAGAGAUGAUGUCUUUUCUUGGUACUUGCAACUUCUGCAGGUUAUGGAUUGCUAAUUAUGCUGAAAUUGCACAACCAUUACAGAAUAUGAUUUAUGGUAAAGCAAUGGCUGCUUCAGAUAAGGUGGUGUGGACUGAGGAGGGCGAGCAGGCUUUCACAAAGUUAAAGCAGUUGAUAGCUUCUUCGUCUGUACUUGAAAAAGGAUUUCAUACAAACAGUGGAUUGCAAAAAUGGUUUUAUGACAUCUGUCCUGUUACAGGAGUCUGGGGAUAAAUUAAGACCAGUUGCUUUCUAUUCCUCCAGACAUGACCCAGUACUCACCCCGGUGAGUGAGUAGUGGGUCCGUACUGCCUUCUCAGCCACUCCUCAGGUGACCUGUAAGUCCGGCUACACAGGGGGCGCUGUGCAGAUAGAGGUGCAGUGUCGUCUCAAACCGGUGAAGAUUUCGGUGUUUUUUCAAAGUGGGCCCUGAGGAUUUAGGAGUUGAAAGGUUUUCGGGCUGCUGCUGCCACCUGGUGGACUUGAGGAAUACUGAGGUCAUGGCGUCCCAGAGGAACAGACAACCUCCAUCACCAGCACAGGAGACUCCAACAACCAUAUCCUUCCUACAGUGGUGGUAUUAUUGGUUACUGUGUGAAAAAGUGAUGAUUGUUUUGCUCUGUGUGACUGUUUUGAUGAUACCAAUCUGCAUAUGGUUCUUGCCUACUAUUCGUCCUUAUCUAUCAUUGCUCAGAGGGGCCCGGUCUAUGGAAGAUGAUGUCAUCAUCCACGCUCAAGAUGUUUAGCUGGGAAUGAUCUCUGCAAGGAAAUCACACUCCACCAUGUACACACUUAACUUUUGGUAUUCUUAUGCCAAGUAUGUUGCUGAAUCCAAGAACCGCUCUAAUUGCUAUGUGUGCAGCCAUAUGCCGAUUGCUACAAACAACCCCCAUGUUGUCCCCAGACCUGUUAAAGACUUAAAGAGUUUGUUUCCUGAUAUCUUGGUUUCUAGUGUCGACUCAACAGUUUUAAAUCAAACAGUUUUUAGGACAACUGGAAAUGUGUUACCACCUCUGCGGCCUUACUCAGGUCGAAAGUUUUCUAGGUUUAAGAUUCUCAGUGCCGGGAGUGAACCCUUGUUUGGGCCAGUCCAUUUGAGACCCGAAAUUAAAUUUGAUUGUUUUGCUCAAAAUUAGUUCUGUCUGAGUCCUCCUCCAUCAGAGUAGGAAAGAUCCCAAAACUUUUCUGCUCUACUAUUUCGAGUCCUUGUACCUCGAACACUGGCAAAGCAUCUCUAAAUUAUUCUCAGGUAGUGAUGGGCAGUGCGUGUGCACCUUACUUCACCGUGCCAGACGUCCUUGGGACAUAUCCACAGACUGAUGUAAUGUUUCUCUGUGGGUACUACAUGUAUGCUCAACUUCCUCCUGGCUGGGUGGGUCGCUGUGCGGCUGUGGAGCCGACUGAUCAGUCCUUCAUUGUUUCAGCUAUGCCCCACCCUGGUGAACUUCCGGGUGAGCAGCGUAUGAGGAGAGAUGUAAGUCAGCCGCAUGAUCCUGUCUGGGGCUCUAAUGUUCCAGAAGACCAUAAGUUGUGGUCCACGGGUGAAAAAGUCAUGCUGUCACUCUUCCCGUCUCUUGGAGUGGGAAAAGUGAUGCUGAGGAUGGAAACUAUGAACUACAGGUUCUCUGGGUUCGUAAACACUACGCUGGUUAUGUGGCAGGCUGAACGGGAGGAGUUGAGAGGCCUCAGGGCCGUUGCCCUUCAGAACCGCAUUGUGCUAGAUCAACUCACUGCAGCCACUGGAGGUGUGUGUGCUCUCGUAGGUGCCUCAUGCUGCACAUACAUCCCUGCUAAUGAUGAUGAGGGAGGAGUCAUUCAGCAGGCUAUUGCUAAUCUGACCUCAUUGCGUGAUGCUGUUGAUCAUGACUCAAAAUUUGACAGGUCCUGGUUCGUAACCGGUCCAUGGUACGCUGUUUGUUUGAAAUUAUUGGCUCCAGUCGCUCCAUUUUUGAUUCUGAUCUUUGUAAGUGUUUGUUGCAUCAUUCCCAUUAUCAAGGCACUGGUAAAGAAGUCUGUAGCUGUGGUCGUGCACCAGGAAGCAAGAUAUCAAGAACAACUCCUACUUCUGGAUCUGUGAUGUAAUGUUACAAAAGAAGGAUUCUUUAUGACGUUAAUAUUGAAAAUCGUGAGAAGUGAUAUUGACUGAUGAUUCUGAUGGAAACGUUGUAACUUACUGAUGUGAUGUAUUUUGAUCAUUUUCAUCAAUUAUGAUGGUAUAAUCGAAAUUGUCAAAAUUAUUAAUCAUUAUUAAUCAUUAGCAAUUAAUUACUGGCUUAGGCAUAGUUGAUGUUGAUUGAUUUCACUAUGAUUAUAAUCUUUUAUCAUGUAACCAUGUAAUCAUUUUAAAAUCCACUCUCAUAUCUAUGUUCAUCCAUGAUGAUUUGAUGUUGAUUUGAUUUUAUCCUGUAUUGAGAAUAUCCUGAUCAAUUACACAUUUAGUUCUCACUAUACAUUUUUUCUAUGUUUUUGAUUUUAUUCAUUUGUUUCACAAAGUAUAAACAGGAGGGAAAUGAUAGAAAAAUCCAUGUAUUAGUUAAGUAGGUAUGGUCAUAUGUAUGUAUAUAUUUGGCGGCAGGGCCUUGAGAGGAACACUAUGAUAGUUAUAUGGACAUCAUGGUCAUCAUGUGGAAGGGAGAGCUCUGUAAAGCUUUGUCUAGGUCUGUUAGAAGGAAUCUGUAAACAACUAAAGGUGCCUCCCCAGGGCAUCAAGGCCGUCAACAUAUACUAGUGUCUUUCCUUUGUCUUGUCAGAAUUCUCCACGGAGACUCUGCGUACUCUCCGUGUCUACAACAUAUGUUUGGUUUGAAUUAAAGAGACGCUUGACUUCAACCAACCUCAGUCUAUUUGGUCAUUUUUACCUAUCAAUAAUCCUUCAAAAACAGGAUUAUACUGAACAUAACGAUCAGAUUUAACAAAUUCAAUAUUUCUGCAUUUUCACAUCGUCUCACCCAUGGAUCCAAAUCCUGCCAUUUUCCUUCCCUGUAUUUGGCAAGUGACAUGUGUGGGUAUGAGUCAGGAACCUCAAACAGAGAAUCCCACCCUGAAUCACUGAAAGGGAACUAUAGUGAAGAUUCAUCAAUCUGCUUUGGCUUUGUUUGUUCAGGCAAAGUCACUGAAAGAGCACAUCUGUGUUUAUUCCCAAACAUAGAACUUAACGUUAGCUUUUCUCUCAGGCAACCUUCUUUGAACCAUCUUUUCUCAAACUCUGCAUCUCUCCCUUCAUGUAUGUGUGCAGUGCAGUGUAGAUCUUGUGGUUGCAUGUAGUCUGUGUUGAAUGUGAGCACGCGUUAUCAACAAGAGCGGUGUUUACGGAAGUCACAGCUGAUGUGCAGAGCUUCCAUUCAUACACAUAAAGCAGCGUGUCAGGGCUGUAUUUCACAAAUAUGUGAGUGUCACUUGUUCCAAUAACAAUAACCCCUUUUGAUGUCGAAACAAGACAAAUAGCCAAUAAACACAUCACAACUCGUCCCAUUAGAUUGAUUGGGCAACAGUUUGACAGCAAAAAUGAAUGCUUCAAUUUGCCUGUAACAUCGUCAGAGCAUGAUAAUGGAUUUUUCCAGAACUGUGUCACCUGACGCCCCUACAGACUUCACGUAUCUUCCUCUCAUCUUUAGAGGUGUUGAAAACGUGUCUAAUAACAGAGUGUGUUGCACCAGAUCAACAAGAAAUGUUACAUGCUUACCAUGUACAAGGAGCGUGUGUGUCGGCAUGUCUGCGUUAGCUUCAGUUGAGUAUUUAGCAUAUGUGCCUACAGGCUGUGUGUUUCCUGCUUCUUCUCUAACUGAGCUUUGGCAUCAUCAAUCAGUGUGUGUGUGGUGCAAUCACCCAUCUGAUGUGUAGGUUGUCUCUCAUCGUGCGUCAGUGUGGUCAAAGGUGCCGGUUCCUCCCCCUCCCGGGCUGCCGCCCCGAGUCCAUCGGCCUUGUGCUUGUAAGUUGGAUUUUUCUUCCCUCGCCACAGUGAAAACAAGCAUCUGGAUCAGUCGUGCGUCGUCCUCCACGGCCCCCUCUAAGUCCACCUCUGCUGCGGCCGUGUCCGCGCCCUCUGGCGUGUCCUUGGAACAUAGUCGAUGCAGCCGUGUGGAGAUCUUUCUCUUUCUUUUCUCCUUUCCUCUUCUGGCUUUCUUUGAGGGUUUUCUCAGCGUGCACAGCAUGUGCUUCCAUGAGUCCCAGGUGAUGCAUAUAUGUUUCACCAUGUUGGAAAUAUCAGGUUUCAGUCCAUUUAGGAAGCUGUUUCUCAAAUGUGCUUCCCAUGCUGUAACAGCAUUAUUCUUCAGGUCAGCUGGAGGUGUCAGGCUGCUGUGUGUGUUGUGAACUUCUGUCAGACCAGUGAGAUAGUUGCAAACACUUUCAUCAUCUUCUUGUUUACAUGAGGAUAUUUAGCUCAUGUCCAAUCUCACAGGGAAAGCUGCUUGGAUGCGCUCACAGAGAUCUGUGAUGUGAACUCUAUAGGCUGUGCUGUCAUUAUGCGCCGUCGGGGUCAGCCAGUCUCACAUCACUCUCUGGAUAUCCUGCUGAGAUCUUGGCCCAGUUACUGCCCAUCUUUACCACCAGGAGCCGUCUCACUUCAGAUUCCUCCAUCUGAUGGUGAUGAAAGGUGAGUCGUUGCCUGUUUCACGUCCUCCAUAGUCCACGGUCUGUGGAUUAACAUCGCCUCCAUCAUGGGGAGAUUCAGGAUCCGGUGCAUGUUUCCCUCUGUGUCAGUUCUCACUGGAGAUGGGAGGGUGAUGAAUGGAUUCAUAGAGACGACGGAUGGAUUUUGAGAUCCUUUGAAUACCAGACCAGACCUGGUAUGAGAAGGAGAGGCAGCUUUGUCCUGGUAAGACAGAUGUAUCAGGGUAGAUGAGGGGAACCGGAGACGGAGGACAGUCAGAGUUAUGUGGCGGUGGUGCUCUUGGCCGUGGAUAAGGCGUCUGACGAGCUCGGGCUGCUGUUCAUCUUGUUGUUGCGGCGGGUCGAUGCGUCUCCUGGGCGGCACCCGGUCGAGUUCAGAAUCCUGCAUUUUGACACACUGAGACACAGAUGAGAUCCUACCUGUCCCUGCCUGUGGUCUCCUGUCCCUGUUUUGUGCUUCUUUCAUCCAUAAACUAAAAGCUUUCCAAUCUGUUAUGAACUUACUUUUGCCUUUUUUAUUCUCAGUCUCUUUUUCCUUCUCCUGCAGUCUUUCUCUCAGCUGAUUUAGCUGUCUGAUACUGAAACUUUCUGUGCUCGGAAAGCUAGAUUCAGUCAUCCAAAUGUUGAUUUGUUUCACAGAUGAAUCACUAUAGUUCACUCUCAUGUAGUUUAUUUUAGGAGCGGACAGGUCCACAUUAUCAUAUCUAUCCUUUGUUUGAUUUCUACUGUUAACACUACCCAUUCUGGCAGAUUAAAAGACAGAUUUAAGUUAUGUCUUCAACUGAAUCUCCAAAGUACACCCGUUAAGAAUAUCAGAAAACUAAUCAAUGUUAGUGAACCCAGAAAGGAAUCAGAACAGAGGAAUUAUCUAUGUUUUCUAUGCGUGUUUUCUGAGUCUUACUUCACACAAUAUUAUAACCCAGUAAUCAUUCUUCCACACACUAUUGUGAUAACAGUGAACUCUCUUUAAGGUGGACUCAUCAGUGCAGCUCCAGGUUUCUACUAAACCUGUCUGGACUCUUUCCUGAUCAGCAUACAGUCACAACAGACUGAUGUGGGUUAUUAAGUGCACAUAUCUUUUAUAGACAAGGAGUCUGGUAAACAUAUCAGAAUGUGAGUGGGGUGCAGUGCUGGAUGUCAUCAAAGCUAUCAAACUAAUUAUAAAAGAACUGUAGCUUGUCCAGGAUGAUGCUACUCCCUACUCUGAUCCAGUGUCAAACAUAAUGAGCACAGAUGUUACAUGUUCAAGGUUAUACAAUAUGAGUUUAUCAAAAAUGCAAUAACUGUUUGUGUGAUGCAGAGGAUACAAAGUGUGGUUCUUCCAUUAGAUUUACAUCUUUUCAUCACAUUUUAUCACUCAUUAAGGAAAAAUUACACAAGAUUUUACCUUCAUAGUAAACAAUCAUCCUUACAUAUGGUAACAU